GGGUGAGUAACACGUGGAUAACCUACCUAUAAGACUGGGAUAACUUCGGGAAACCGGAGCUAAUACCGGAUAAUAUAUUGAACCGCAUGGUUCAAUAGUGAAAGACGGUUUUGCUGUCACUUAUAGAUGGAUCCGCGCCGCAUUAGCUAGUUGGUAAGGUAACGGCUUACCAAGGCAGCGAUGCGUAGCCGACCUGAGAGGGUGAUCGGCCACACUGGAACUGAGACACGGUCCAG
rnacentral:rRNA from 1 species